rnacentral:rRNA from 1 species
CCCUUAGAUGUUCUGGGCUGCACGCGCGCUACACUGAUGCACUCAACGAGUUUACGACCUUGCCCGAUAGGGUUGGGUAAUCUUUUUAAAAUGCAUCGUGAUGGGGAUAGAUUAUUGCAAUUAUUAAUCUUCAACGAGGAAUUCCUAGUAAGCGCGAGUCAUCAGCUCGUGCUGAUUACGUCCCUGCCCUUUGUACGCACCGCCCGUCGCUCCUACCGAUUGAGUGCUCAGGUGAAUAAUUCGGACUGCAGCAAUGUUUGGAUCCCGAACGUUGCAGCGGAAAGUUUAGUGAACCUUAUCACUUAGAGGAAGGAGAAGUCGUAACA